AGUGAACGCUGGCGGUAGGCCUAACACAUGCAAGUCGAACGGCAGCACAGUAAGAGCUUGCUCUUACGGGUGGCGAGUGGCGGACGGGUGAGGAAUACAUCGGAAUCUACUUUUUCGUGGGGGAUAACGUAGGGAAACUUACGCUAAUACCGCAUACGACCUACGGGUGAAAGCAGGGGAUCUUCGGACCUUGCGCGAUUGAAUGAGCCGAUGUCGGAUUAGCUAGUUGGCGGGGUAAAGGCCCACCAAGGCGACGAUCCGUAGCUGGUCUGAGAGGAUGGUCCGCCACACUGGAAGUGAGACACGGUCCAGACUCCUACGGGGGGCAGCAGUGGGGAAUAUUGGACAAUGGGCGCAAGCCUGAUCCAGCCAUACCGCGUGGGUGAAGAAGGCCUUCGGGUUGUAAAGCCCUUUUGUUGGGAAAGAAAAGCAGCAGGUUAAUACCCCGCUGUUCUGACGGUACCCAAAGAAUAAGCACCGGCUAACUUCG
rnacentral:rRNA from 1 species